rnacentral:pre_miRNA from 1 species
UUUGACUCUUCGUUUUAUUUAAAAUUCUUUUGUAAUUAAUAUUUUUAUUUUCACUAGAUGAUAAAACAUAAAUAAUACUUUAUGUGUGACUAAUUUUUAAGUUUUUAUACAAAUUUUUUAAAUAAGACGAAUGAUCAAA